rnacentral:rRNA from 1 species
UUGACCUCGGAUCAGGUAGGGAUACCCGCUGAACUUAAGCAUAUCAAUAAGCGGAGGAAAAGAAACCAACCGGGAUUGCCUCAGUAACGGCGAGUGAAGCGGCAAGAGCUCAAAUUUGAAAGCUGGCUCCUUCGGAGUCCGCAUUGUAAUUUGCAGAGGAUGCUUUGGGUGCGGCCCCCGUCUAAGUGCCCUGGAACGGGCCGUCAGAGAGGGUGAGAAUCCCGUCUUGGGCGGGGUGUCCGUGCCCGUGUAAAGCUCCUUCGACGAGUCGAGUUGUUUGGGAAUGCAGCUCUAAAUGGGUGGUAAAUUUCAUCUAAAGCUAAAUACUGGCCGGAGACCGAUAGCGCACAAGUAGAGUGAUCGAAAGAUGAAAAGCACUUUGAAAAGAGAGUUAAACAGCACGUGAAAUUGUUGAAAGGGAAGCGCUUGCAACCAGACUCGCCCGCGGGGUUCAGCCGGCAUUCGUGCCGGUGUACUUCCCCGUGGGCGGGCCAGCGUCGGUUUGGGCGGCCGGUCAAAGGCCCCUGGAAUGUAGUGCCCUCCGGGGCACCUUAUAGCCAGGGGUGCAAUGCGGCCAGCCUAGACCGAGGAACGCGCUUCGGCUCGGACGCUGGCAUAAUGGUUGUAAACGACCCGU